rnacentral:rRNA from 1 species
AGUGAACGCUGGCGGUAGGCCUAACACAUGCCAGUCGAACGGCAGCACAGUAAGAGCUUGCUCUUACGGGUGGCGAGUGGCGGACGGGUGAGGAAUACAUCGGAAUCUACUUUUUCGUGGGGGAUAACGUAGGGAAACUUACGCUAAUACCGCAUACGACCUACGGGUGAAAGCAGGGGAUCUUCGGACCUUGCGCGAUUGAAUGAGCCGAUGUCGGAUUAGCUAGUUGGCGGGGUAAAGGCCCACCAAGGCGACGAUCCGUAGCUGGUCUGCGAGGAUGAUCAGCCACACUGGAACUGAGACACGGUCCAGACUCCUACGGGAGGCAGCAGUGGGGAAUAUUGGACAAUGGGCGCAAGCCUGAUCCAGCCAUACCGCGUGGGUGAAGAAGGCCUUCGGGUUGUAAAGCCCUUUUGUUGGGAAAGAAAAGCAGCAGGUUAAUACCCCGCUGUUCUGACGGUACCCAAAGAAUAAGCACCGGCUAACUUCGUG